AUACCCUGAUGUGGGGGAUAACUAUUGGAAACGAUAGCUAAUACCGCAUAAUCUCUUCGGAGCAAAGAGGGGGACCUUCGGGCCUCUCGCGUCAGGAUUAGCCCAGGUGGGAUUAGCUAGUUGGUGGGGUAAUGGCUCACCAAGGCGACGAUCCCUAGCUGGUCUGAGAGGAUGAUCAGCCACACUGGAACUGAGACACGGUCCAGACUCCUACGGGAGGCAGCAGUGGGGAAUAUUGCACAAUGGGGGAAACCCUGAUGCAGCCAUGCCGCGUGUAUGAAGAAGGCUUCGGGUUGUAAAGUACUUUCAGUUGUGAGGAAGGCGUUG
rnacentral:ncRNA from 1 species